ACAACUGAUCUUUCCCAUGAGUUAGCAGCUCUUAAACUUUUGAGAACCUGAUCAAAGCUAUAUGUUCUCUCCUGGAUAAAUGCACAUUAGCAUAGGCAUGCAUUUUGAUUACAAGAUCCGGCGUUCAUAGACCUCUACAGUCUAGACCAAACAUGGCUUCUGUCAAGAAGACUUCUUCCAUUCUGACAAGCACCACUCAGAGUUGAUGCAUCUGCUUGGGAACCUCAUGGAACACAUUCCUGGAGAGCUGAACAAACUGGACGAUAGCCCUUACAAAAACUUCUUCUCUGUCUGUUGUUAUUGUGGAUAAAAUGCCAUGCUUCUAUCUUAGAUAAACCCAUUCACUUUUAAA